GGUAAACUGCUUUCAAUAGUAGCAUAUGCGAAGUGAACCAGAUUAACAAGGUGAAGAGUAUAGAUUGGACAUGCUCCGAAUUAGGGAUGACUGGUGUUUUGGCUUAUUUUUAUACACCAACGUAUUGAUUAUUGGAAAUGUUCAUACAAAACUGCACUGAACCACCUUUGAAUAUCAGACCUAGUUUUUAGUUGUGUUUGUCUGCAAAUAAAACAAAGUCCUCUUCACCUACAGCAUUUUCUCUAACAAUGAAACUCUAGCUUCUUCCUACAGCUUCUGUUUCCUUUCUUCACUAUUCACUGGAGAUAUGCCUGGUGACUCUAGCUGUGGCACUUUAGUAGACUGCAAAGCCAAAAGAUGGGUCCUAAAGAUCAUGUGUGAUAAAGUCACAAAGUUCUAUUUAUAAAAUCCAAAUUCUGACCUAGUCCACUGAAGUGAGGUGUCAGAACAUAAUGUGCUGCUGAAAUUCCAGAAUUUCCAGUGGUAUCUGAGAUGGUAUUCCAGUGGUAUCUGAGACUUCCAUCCCUGGGAAGGUUAUGGAGCAAAUCCUCCUAGGGGCUAUCACAGGUCAAAUGAAGAGUGUAAUUGGGAAAAGCCAGCACGGAUUCAGUAGGGGCAAAUUGUACUUGAUAAACCUGAUCGCCUUCUAUGACAAAGUGACCUGCUCACUUGGUAUGGGGAGAGUGAUGGACAUUGUCUGUAUGGUUUCCCACAUCUCCUCCUUAAGAAACGGAUACAUAUAGUAUAAGUGGAUAAGUGGUCUGUGCUGUGAGUGGGGAUCUGGCUUACCAGCUGCCCUCAGGAGCUGGUGGUGAGAAGGCGACUCCUUUUCAAAGCGGCAGUCUAUCACUAGUGGAUUGAUAUUGGCUUCAAUGCUGUUUAAUACUCUGUAAAUGAUCUGGAAGAUGUGAUCAAGUGUACCCUAACCAAGUCUUCCAGCAGUACCAAACUGCGUCGGGAGGUGGACACUUUGGAAGGGAGAGUCACUCUGUGGGAUGGAAGAGUGUGCUAGCAACAACCUCACAAAGUUCAACCAGGAAAAGCGAUGGCUGGCCUAUGAUCCUGGCUCACUCUCCCUUAUGUGACUGCAGCUUUUGCUGUCACCAAACCUGAACACGCUUUAAACAAAUUGGUUUCUACCUGCUGCUAUCAACCUUGUCGUUUAAUAACUAAGGUAUGUCGAAGGGGUUUGUAGCCCACCGCUUACUUCUGUAAAUCGAGAUCUUACUGUAAAAGGCUACCUAGGAAGCCCGCAUUUCCAUGCCGGGGACGCCAAUUUUCAGUUAACAGCUGGGACCAAAAUUCAGGGAUAUUUUAUCUUAUGCUGCCAUCUCCUGGCAAAUGGCUCAAUUACAAAUAGAGUGGUAACCUCAGGUACUGCUUUGGUGGCAGCGUAGCUUUUGAUCUCUCCCCAUCUCAUGCUGCAAGAGUUACUUGCAAAAACAUGAAUAGAUACUGGAGAGUGAACAGCUUUCCCUAAACACCUACUGGAUAGUCACCUGGGUUGGACUCUAAUUUUUCUCUCCAUUAAUUAUAAUCAUAUAUAGGUGGCUACAUUUACAUUACUGUGCUGUGAUUUGUUAAUCGUCAGCUGAAGUGUUUCCUGAAUUGUUGAUAUGACUUAGGGAAAGAAGCAGCCUCUCAGUGUUCCUGUUGGUAUUACUUACUGCAUGGCAUAUUUGCUGUUCGGAAUCAGCACAUUUGUUGUUAAUUGUUUCAAAAUGAGGGAUCAGAUUUUAAAUAGUGUUUUGUGGGGGAUUUUUUGUGUUGUUUUUUUUUUUUGUGUGUGUGGUUUUUGUUGGUUGGUUGGCUGGUUGGUUUUUAAGUAAAAAUAAGUUGCUACUUAAAACACAGGGAUGUUGUCAGCAGUUAAUCCUGAGAGGUCUGAAUCCUAUUCUGAAACCUAUUUUUUCACUUUAGAGAUUUUUAUCUUUUCAAGUUUACUUUGUGAGCGUUUUCAGGAGCUAGGCUUUGUAGAGUUCUUAAAAAAAAAAACACAUGAAAGAUCCCGGUUGGAGACAAAGGUUUCAUUCACUUCAGCAGGCUGCUUGCGUCACUGGCUGAGAAAGGGUGCUGAGAUUUAGGACUUCCAACCUGAUUUCUGGCACUAGGAGGGUGACGUCAUUUCCUGAGUUAUGUGACCAUGUUGGAAAAUUAAAAAAACGUGAUUUUUAAACAGCCAACUUUACUUAAAAGCCCAAGAAAUGACACAUUAUGCUUAAAUAGCAAAUUCUACAAUAAAAAUUCUUUCAAAACAGUGAAAAGGGACCCCGAAAAGUGUGCUUUUUACAGCUCAGGGAAUUUUUAAUUUAUUGCAAUAAUAAGAUUUUAUAAAAUAGUUAAUUGUUGAGUUACAAAAUAAAAUA